rnacentral:rRNA from 1 species
UUGGGCCUAAAGCGUCCGUAGCCGGCUCGGUAAAUCUCUGGGUAAAUCGAUAGGCUUAACUUAUCGAGUUCUGGGGAGACUGCCGGGCUUGGGAUCGGGAGAGGUCGGAGGUACUCCAGGGGUAGGGGUGAAAUCCUGUAAUCCUUGGGGGACCACCGGUGGCGAAGGCGUCCGACCAGAACGAGUCCGACGGUAAGGGACGAAGCCCUGGGGCGCAAACCGGAUUAGAUACCCGGGUAGUCCAGGGUGUAAACGCUGUGCGCUUGGUGUUGGGGGUCCUACGAGGGCACCCAGUGCCGGAGAGAAGUUGUUAAGCGCACCGCCUGGGGAGUACGGUCGCAAGACUGAAACU